rnacentral:piRNA from 1 species
UCCAAGCAAAGUGGGGACAGU